GGUAGGAUGGCUGAGUAAGCGGUAGGUUGUAGCCCUAAAGACAGAGGUUUAAUCCCUCUUCCUGUCA
rnacentral:tRNA from 1 species